UGAUAGAGGCGCGGCUGACAAUAGUAGCUCCGUUCACCGGCAGGAACCGGGGAGUGAAAGGGGAUGCCGCCGAAGGGUCUUUCAGAUUCCUGUUUGGAGGAUGCCUGGGUCGUCGGGGAAUACCCGCCGGACUGUCGUUCGCAAGAACGGAGUGCUGUC
rnacentral:ncRNA from 1 species